rnacentral:rRNA from 1 species
UACGAAGGGGGCAAGCGUUGUUCGGAAUUACUGGGCGUAAAGGGCGCGUAGGCGGCCGAUCAAGUCAGGCGUGAAAUUCCCGGGCUCAACCUGGGGGCUGCGCUUGAUACUGAUUGGCUUGAAUGCGGGAGAGGAUAGUGGAAUUCCCAGUGUAGAGGUGAGAUUCGUAGAUAUUGGGAAGAACACCGGUGGCGAAGGCGGCUAUCUGGCCCGUAAUUGACGCUGAGGCGCGAAAGCGUGGGGAGCAAACAGG